UCAUUUUUUUCUCUUAAUAUUAUGGUGCUACUGUUGGAAAAUCUUUCUGAUAUUUUAUUAUAAUAUUCUUUAAAAACCAAUUCGGAAAUUUAAUUACAAGUUUCGAAAUAUUCCGAAAAAGAAAUUAAAUAACAAAUACUAUAAAGAAAAAGGUUUAGAUAAGACCCGUGGAUCGAGGCGUGCAGAGCACUAUCUUAGAAGCGAAAUUGCCCCUCCACGUGCGAGGCUUCCCAACAAUUACUUCUAGUAAUACAACGACCACGUUCCACCCUAUCGGCACGCUUCCAAGGUGGCGCAAGACGAACCCAACAAGCUUCAGAUCCAGCAAAAGAAAACUCGGCGAAAAUCCAGAAAGUAGAAAAAGUUGAGAGGCUUUAGGUAUGCUCGGGUUAUUAAUUAACUCGUGCAAUCUCGCACCAUAUUUAUAACCUAGGCGAGAAUCUUGCUUCAACGCGUUAAAUCAGUGUAGAACAAGAUAAGCUUAAGAUUAUACGGAUAAUGAUCAAGAUUAUGAUAAGGAUUAAAAUAAAGAUAAAACCGAAAAAAUAAAAUAAACCGGGUGUAUGAACCGCGCGCCGCCGCCCGCCCGGCCCGGCUCGUGCAUGCGUGUAUUUAAAUGAGAGCAUUACUCUCACUUUCUUCCAAGCAACUAGCUUAAGAACAAAGGAAUAUAUAAAAAUCGCAAACACCCUUUUGGUUUCCAAUGUGAGACUAAACAUCACACAUAAAAAUUUUAGUUUGGCUCCCAAGCGGCCCAUUAACAAUUAUUGGGCUCUUAAGAGGCCUUAACAAGUUGUAAAUCAUAACAAACCAAAUAAAAUCCAAUAGCUACGACGUUA
rnacentral:lncRNA from 1 species